rnacentral:rRNA from 1 species
GAUGAACGCUGACAGAAUGCUUAACACAUGCAAGUCUACCAAGAAUCACUUCGGUGAGGAAUGGUGGCGGACGGGUGAGUAACGCGUAAAUAAUCUGCCCUUUAGACUGGGAUAUCCUUUGGAAACGAAGGUUAAUACCGGAUAUUAUGAGAUGGACGCAUGUUCAACUUAUGAAAGCUAAAUGCACUAGAGGAGGAGUUUGCGUCCCAUUAGCCAGUUGGUGAGGUAAAGGCUCACCAAGGCCACGAUGGGUAGCCGGCCUGAGAGGGUGAACGGCCACAAGGGAACUGAGACACGGUCCUUACUCCUACGGGAGGCAGCAGUGGGGAAUAUUGGACAAUGGACCAAAAGUCUGAUCCAGCAAUUCUGUUUGCCCGAUGAAGGUCUUCGGAUUGUAAAGUGCUUUCAGUAGGGAAGAAAAAAAUGACGGUACCUACAGAAGAAGCGACGGCUAAAUAUGUGCCAGCAGCCGCCGUAA